GAAUAUCUUCUAAAUACAACAGACUUCCCUUGUCUACAUAUACAAGUUGAAUUUUACAUACAAGCAUAUAUUGCAGCACUGAUUUAAAUUAUUUACUUCAUUUUAUGAAACGUAAAAAAGCACAUCAUAAAAAGUUUUCCAAUAAUCACAAACACUAGUUCAGAGGGAAAAUGUGCAUUGUAUGCAAAUCAAAAUGUCUUUUGAAAAAAAAAGUUCUUUUAAAAUUUUUUAAAUGAACACCAUUUUUUGAAAACACAACAUACCUUUAAAAAAUUGACAAUUGUAUACUAAAACAUUCAAAAAUAUUUUUCUUUUUGUUUUUCUGUUUCCUCUCAAACAUUGCUGGAAAUUAAGGUCUAUGACCAUAGCAAACACAAUUUUUGUUAAACAUGUUUACCUGUGGGCUAAUAAAAACAGAAUAUG
rnacentral:sRNA from 1 species